AGUGAACGCUGGCGGUAGGCCUAACACAUGCAAGUCGAACGGCAGCACAGUAAGAGCUUGCUCUUACGGGUGGCGAGUGGCGGACGGGUGAGGAAUACAUCGGAAUCUACUUUUUCGUGGGGGAUAACGUAGGGAAACUUACGCUAAUACCGCAUACGACCUACGGGUGAAAGCAGGGGAUCUUCGGACCUUGCGCGAUUGAAUGAGCCGAUGUCGGAUUAGCUAGUUGGCGGGGUAAAGGCCCACCAAGGCGACGAUCCGUAGCUGGUCUGAGAGGAUGAUCAGCCACACUGGAACUGAGACACGGUCCAGACUCCUACGGGAGGCAGCAGUGGGGAAUAUUGGACAAUGGGCGCAAGCCUGAUCCAGCCAUACCGCGUGGGUGAAGAAGGCCGUCGGGUUGUAAAGCCCUUUUGUUGGGAAAGAAAAGCAGCAGGUUAAUACCCCGCUGUUCGGACGGUACCCAAAGAAUAAGCACCGGCUAACUUCG
rnacentral:rRNA from 1 species